rnacentral:misc_RNA from 1 species
GAUGAAGAACGUAGCGAAAUGCGAUAAGUAAUGUGAAUUGCAGAAUUCAGUGAAUCAUCGAAUCUUUGAACGCACAUUGCGCCCGCCAGUAUUCUGGCGGGCAUGCCUGUCCGAGCGUCAUUUCAACCCUCGAACCCCUCCGGGGGGUCGGCGUUGGGGAUCGGCCCUCCCUUAGCGGGUGGCCGUCUCCGAAAUACAGUGGCGGUCUCGCCGCAGCCUCUCCUGCGCAGUAGUUUGCACACUCGCAUCGGGAGCGCGGCGCGUCCACAGCCGAUAAACACCCAACUUCUGAAAUGUUGACCUCGGAUCAGGUAGGAAUACCCGCUGAACUUAAGCAUAUCAAUAAGCGGAGGA